rnacentral:rRNA from 1 species
CUAACACAUGCAAGUCGAACGGUAACAGGAAGAAGCUUGCUUCUUUGCUGACGAGUGGCGGACGGGUGAGUAAUGUCUGGGAAACUGCCUGAUGGAGGGGGAUAACUACUGGAAACGGUAGCUAAUACCGCAUAACGUCGCAAGACCAAAAAGGGGGACCUUCGGGCCUCUUGCCAUCGGAUGUGCCCAGAUGGGAUUAGCUAGUAGGUGGGGUAACGGCUCACCUAGGCGACGAUCCCUAGCUGGUCUGAGAGGAUGACCAGCCACACUGGAACUGAGACACGGUCCAGACUCCUACGGGAGGCAGCAGUGGGGAAUAUUGCACAAUGGGCGCAAGCCUGAUGCAGCCAUGCCGCGUGUAUGAAGAAGGCCUUCGGGUUGUAAAGUACUUUCAGCGGGGAGGAAGGGAGUAAAGUUAAUACCUUUGCUCAUUGACGUUACCCGCAGAAGAAGCACCGGCUAACUCCGUGCCAGCAGCCGCGGUAAUACGGAGGGUGCAAGCGUUAAUCGGAAUUACUGGGCGUAAAGCGCACGCAGGCGGUUUGUUAAGUCAGAUGUGAAAUCCCCGGGCUCAACCUGGGAACUGCAUCUGAUACUGGCAAGCUUGAGUCUCGUAGAGGGGGGUAGAAUUCCAGGUGUAGCGGUGAAAUGCGUAGAGAUCUGGAGGAAUACCGGUGGCGAAGGCGGCCCCCUGGACGAAGACUGACGCUC